GUCUGGUUGAGGAACUGAGCCAGUCGUAAGGAGCAGUUUACACAGGGAGACCAGGAGCAAAACCAGGUGAUGGAGUAGCUGACUUUUCUCUCACCGGUGACUCCGUAACCCCACAGGCCAGGGCACAAAGCACCCAGGUAUGCUAACAAAUGUGGCCAGUCCUGUGUAACCAAUUGUUUCAUUCUGUCUGCACCUGAACAACAUCUUCUCAUUCUUACCUCCACAUGGCAACCGUUGCGGUUGCGGAGAUGACCAAAGUCAAAGGACAGGGAGUCUGGGCCCACUCGCCUCUUCACCACAAAGCAGAGGUGUCAAAUACCUCCUUCUCACACACAUGCAUUGUACAAACAUCCUGUGGUGUUCAUCGGUGGCGCACUGACGAUACACUGACAUUGUCUGUGGUUAGCAGGAGGGUAUAUUCGCACUGAGGAAAGCGUGGGGGUUGCUAACCAUAUUAAGGUUAGCCUCAGGCAGGGGGGGUUGUGUGCAUUUUCACUCUCAAAAACUGACAGGCACCUGCAAACCACACUCAUGCUUAGCUGGGAGAUCUUAUGUCUUGUCUGUCUUAUAUAUAUGUGUAAUGCAUUGGACUUUAAACUGUCUGUAAAUUAGAAAGAGAGUCAUAAAGGAAAUGAGAUUAAAUCUGCGGGAUAUGGAUUAAAUCUUUACGAUGUGGCAACAGAGGGUUGCAACAAACAUCUAUUUGCAUUUCAAAUAAGGCAAGAAUGGUUUCAUAUACUAUUUAUCUAGCAAAAGCAUUCAUUCUUUUCUUUUUUCCUGUUUUUUUUUUUUACAUGUUACAACCUUGAACAUUAAUGUAUUUCAGUGAUAUUUUGUGUCAUAUUCAAACAUGAAGUAGUGCCUAAUUGUGAAGUGGCAGUAAAAUGUUUUGAAAUUAUUUUUAUCAAUUAAAAUUAGAAAAGUGUGCAUGCAUUUCUAUUCAGACCCUGAUUUAAUACUUUAUUGAACCACCUUUUGGGUUUAAAUAACAUCUUUGCUCACAUAUAGCUUGAAAUCUAUUUUGUCUUUGCAAAAUAGCUCACGCUCAGUUAGAUUGGAUGGAGAGUGUCUGUGAAAAGCAAUAUUAAUAAUUUCCUAUUUGGAUUUAGGUCUAGACUUUGGACAUUUACACAGCAAUAUUUCAAUGAAUAUCCUUCUAAACUAUCCUUAAACCAUCAUAGUUCUGACUUUAUAUUUUAGCCGUUGUCCUGGUGGAAGGUGAACCCUGCCUGUCUCAAGUCUUUUGCAUCAUCCAACUGGUUUCUUUUAGGAUUCCCCUGUUAUUAGCUCCACCCACCCUCCUAUCAACUGGAAUUAACUUUAGUUACCCAGCUGAAGGAAAGCAGCUGCACAGCAUGAUGCUGCCAACAUUUCAUCGCAGGGAUGCUGUGUUGCAGUUGAUGUGCAGUGCUAGUUUUCAGCACCCACAGCAUUUUGCCUGUAGGCCAAAAAAAUUCAGUUUUGGGCUUCUUUUUGCUGUUUUCUGGCUACUCUUCCAUGAAGGUUAGAUUUGUAGAGUGCAUGACUGCAUAUAAAUGCAAGCCAGACUUUUCAGAUUUUUAAUUGCUCUCAUUAAUGUGCUAUCUUGUGUUUGUCACAUAACAUCCUCAUAAAAAAUAUAUUGAAAACUGUGGUUUUAAUGUGAACAAAUGUGGAAAGGUUCAAAUGGGGGGUGGGGUUGCUGGGUUAAUUUUGCAAGGCACGGUACAAUCACUGCACUCAGGGGUUACAAAUGAAGCAACAAAGCUGAUUAAGUGAUUAGG